rnacentral:rRNA from 1 species
UACGUAGGGGGCUAGCGUUAUCCGGAAUUACUGGGCGUAAAGGGUGCGUAGGUGGUUUUUUAAGUCAGAAGUGAAAGGCUACGGCUCAACCGUAGUAAGCUUUUGAAAUUAAAGAACUUGAGUGCAGGAGAGGAGAGUAGAAUUCCUAGUGUAGCGGUGAAAUGCGUAGAUAUUAGGAGGAAUACCAGUAGCGAAGGCGGCUCUCUGGACCGAUACUGACGCUGAGGCGCGAAAGCGUGGGGAGCAAACAGG